AGCGAACGCUGGCGGCAGGCCUAACACAUGCAAGUCGAGCGGGCACCGCAAGGUGUCAGCGGCAGACGGGAGAGUAACACGUGGGAACGUGCCCUUCGGUUCGGAAUAACUCGGGGAAACUCGUGCUAAUACCGAAUACGCCUUACGGGAAGAUUUAUCGCCGAUGGAGCGGCCCGCGUCUGAUUAGCUAGUUGGUGAGGUAACGGCUCACCAAGGCUACGAUCAGUAGCUGGUCUGAGAGGAUGAUCAGCCUCACUGGGACUGAGACACGGCCCAGACUCCUACGGGAGGCAGCAGUGGGGAAUAUUGGACAAUGGGCGCAAGCCUGAUCCAGCCAUGCCGCGUGGAUGAUGAAGGCCUUAGGGUUGUAAAGUCCUUUUAACGGGGAAGAUAAUGACGGUACCCGUAGAAUAAGCCCCGGCUAACUUCGUGCCAGCAGCCG
rnacentral:rRNA from 1 species